rnacentral:rRNA from 1 species
CUCUUCAGUGUCAGUAUCGGUCCAGAGAGCCGCCUUCGCCUCCGGUAUUCUUCCAAAUCUCUACGCAUUUCACCGCUACACUUGGAAUUCUACUCCCCUCUACCGUACUCUAGUUAAACAGUUUCACGAGCCAAUCCCAGGUUAAGCCCGGGUAUUUCACUUGUGACUUAUCUAUCCACCUACGUGCCCUUUACGCCCAGUCAUUCCGAUUAACGCUCGUACCCUCCGUAUUACCGCGGCUGCUGGCACGAAGCAACGCGAAGAACCUUACCAGGUCUUGACAUCGAGUGACGUAUCUAGAGAUAGAUAUUUCCUUCGGGACACGAAGACAGGUGGUGCAUGGUUGUCGUCAGCUCGUGUCGUGAGAUGUUGGGUUAAGUCCCGCAACGAGCGCAACCCUUGCUAUUAGUUGCUACGCAAGAGCACUCUAAUAGGACUGCCGUUGACAAAACGGAGGAAGGUGGGGACGACGUCAAAUCAUCAUGCCCCUUAUGACCUGGCUACACACGUACUACAAUGGCCGUAAACAGAGGGACGCAAUACAGCGAUGUGGAGCAAACCCCUAAAAGCGGUCUCAGUUCAGAUUGCAGGCUGCAACC